rnacentral:lncRNA from 1 species
GUUCUUCAAGCUCUUUUCAAGUCUGUGAAGGCUCAUAGAGGAUCUACUUCAUGGACCUGGGAUUGGUGAGAUAGCUCUUGAAUCUCUACCUUUGAACUACCAUAAAAAUAUUGGGAAGGCAGAAUCAAGAUGGUGACUUAGAAGCUAUGAAAUUCAAGUCCUCUGUGAAAACUCUUCCACACCAAUCAAAAACAAAGUGUUUCUAGGAGGACACAAAACCAAAUAAAACAAGAAGACAGAGCUGGGGAACAUUCUUGCUUCAUUCAACUUAAAGAUGAUUAAACAGUCUGGGAUGAAACAGUAAGUAAAAUGUCCAAGUCCCACAGCUGAUAAUACUUGGUAAGUCUUUCAUGUUAUUAUUUUUACUCAAAGUGUAACAUUCUAUUCAAUGAAGUCUUAGGUUCCUGUAGUAUGAAUACUGGUUGAAGAGAAUGGGCUGAUUAGUUGGGAACUAGAAGACUGGGAGGGGUUUGGGGUACAGAAG